GCCUCUACGGUAAAACCCAGCUAGCUAGCAUUAGCCUUUAGCUAUCUUUUAGCCACCAUUAGUAGCAUGUUAGCAUUGCUAACUAGCGUCAGCGGUAAAUUGCAUUGGCAUUUCACUAAAGUACCGGAGCAAAAUUGAUCUUAUUCUGUUCAGGGACUGAUGACGAUGUAGCCCAGCUGAUCCGGCUGAGGAGGGAGAAGGACCACCCUUCAGCGGGAGGCGGUUUGCUGCUGCUGCAGGAUGGGAAACUUUGCUGAAAGACAUGCUGCUGUCUGAUCGAGUCAGUCCUGCUCGGGCGGAUAAAAAGUGGGAGAACUUGAAGAAAACGUACAAGUCAUGAUCAUCCAGAGCUGGCGGAUUUUCAAUCGGGGCUGAAAGAGCAGCA